GACGAGGGAUCCUAGCGUUGUUCGGAAUCAUUGGGCGUAAAGGGUGCGUAGGUGGCCUUGCAAGUCAGUUGUGAAAUCCCCGGGCUCAACCCGGGAAGUGCUUCUGAUACUGCUUGGCUUGAGUAUUGGAGAGGUGAGUGGAAUUCCAGGUGUAGUGGUGAAAUACGUAGAUAUCUGGAGGAACACCGGCGGCGAAGGCGGCUCACUGGCCAUAUACUGACACUGAAGCACGAAAGCGUGGGGAGCAAACAGG
rnacentral:rRNA from 1 species